rnacentral:rRNA from 1 species
CGCUCACCACUUUGUGGUUCAUGACUGGGGUGAAGUCGUAACAAGGUAGCCCUAGGGGAACCUGGGGCUGGAUCACCUCCUUAUACGAAGAUA